GAAAAAGUGACUAGUUUGCCAA
rnacentral:snRNA from 1 species